GCUGGGCAUGGUGGCUCAUGCCUGUAAUCCCAGCUACUUGGAAGUCUGAGGCAGGAGGAUCACUUGAGCCCAAGAGUUCAAGACCAGCCUGGGCAAAAUAGCGAGACCCUGUCUCUA
rnacentral:SRP_RNA from 2 species